UACGUAGGGGGCAAGCGUUGUCCGGAAUCAUUGGGCGUAAAGAGCGUGUAGGCGGCUCGAUAAGUCUGCUGUGAAAGUCCAGGGCUCAACCCUGGAAGGCCGGUGGAAACUGUCGGGCUAGAGUCCGGAAGAGGCGAGUGGAAUUCCCGGUGUAGCGGUGAAAUGCGCAGAUAUCGGGAGGAACACCAAUGGCGAAGGCAGCACUCUGGGACGUGACUGACGCUGAGACGCGAAAGCGUGGGGAGCGAACAGG
rnacentral:rRNA from 1 species